CUCAGCCUUGCCUGCCUGAUGGGCUGAGAUGGAUGGGCUGCCGGCCAUGUGCCUGAGGCCCUCGUCUUUGCCCCUCCCUGGGGUCUGUGGAGGGGCUCGGGGGCACAGCCUGGGGAAAAGCAGGAAGGCCUCGCUUUCUGGAGAGGCUUAGAGCUGGGACAUUGGUGGGGGUGGGGGGAUCCAAAACUGUAGGUGUCCCCAUCCAGAAACUCCCCUACCCACUCUACCCCCCACAUCCCCCAUGGAACAGAAUAAGCCCAGAGACUGGCCAUAGCCUGCUCAGUUUUCUUGGAAAUGCCUGGAGGGGAGGACUCUGCAGAAUGACUUACUUGGACCCCAGCUGAGCCAGGACCUCAUCUGAGCAGAUGACCUUUUCUCUCCUGACUGUCUCCCCUGGUGAGAUUUUUUGACAGGUGGCCCAUCUGUCCUCCAGCAUCUUCAUGGUCAUCAACUGGGAGGAGCUGAAUGGGGCGUUUGAUUUGCAAAUGUUAGGGGUGUUCUCUGCCCAGCUGGGAAGUGGGCCGAGUCCCAGCUGGACUGCAGCAUGGUUGCAUGGGGACGCGGGUAUGGUGCCGUGUCACCCAAGACACAGGAUGACUCCCAUUUCAGAGCUGAGCCCGAUGUCGAAGCCUCUGCCUUCUGCUCUCGGUCUGCAGAUCUCAGGCCUCUCUUCUGUGGUGGAAGGUAAAUAUCCCAAGAAAAACAAACCUUGGCUGCAGCUGUCUUCAGGGAUCUGUGUACUUUCAAGAUAAGAAAACCUAAUUUCCAGAGGGUAUGCCUUACCACAGCAGGCCUCCACGUGGCUUACACAAAUAAUGCAAAAAUCUCCAACAACCCCUACCAAGAACUUACUCCUGGUGCAUGGCCUGCAUUUUAUUUUAUUUUGUUUUAUUUUAUUAAAUUU
rnacentral:lncRNA from 10 species